GCCUCGCCUCACUCCCGCUCCCCGGCGAUCCCAUAGGCGAGGUCCCAGGGACUGCUCUUCCCCAUUGCUCCGGUUUCUUGUCCAUUACGUGCUAUCCCUCCGCCUCUCCUUCUUUCUUUUCUUUUCUUUUUUCCCUUCUCCAUUCUCCCCCUCUCUCCCCCUUUCUUCAGCUCCGUGUCAUUUCCUCCUUGUGCUCGCUCGCUGCCUGAGCGUCUCCAGCCGGGAGAGUAGGCGGAGCGGGGCGGUGCGGGACGGCGUAACUCUGGAGGGCGAUGGUGGCGGAGCUGCUGGGGGCGGAGGCAACGUAGUCCCCGCGGAAAAGGAGCCCCGCGGCGCCUGAGCCGAGCGGAGGAUGGAGAACGCGCUUGGGUCCUUCCAGUACGUCCUUGUGCAGCUGCAAGGGGGGGCUCCCUGGGGCUUCACCCUUAAGGGGGGUCUGGAACACUGCGAACCGCUCACGGUGUCUAAGAUCGAAGAUGGGGGCAAGGCAGCCUUGUCCCAGAAGAUGAGGACUGGUGAUGAGCUGGUGAAUAUCAAUGGCACUCCAUUGUAUGGUUCCCGCCAAGAGGCCCUCAUCCUCAUCAAAGGCUCUUUCCGGAUCCUGAAGCUGAUUGUCAGGAGGAGAAACGCCCCUGUCGGUAGGCCGCACUCAUGGCAUGUGGCCAAACUGCUGGAGGGAUGCCCUGAGGCGGCCACCACCAUGCAUUUCCCUUGUGAAGCCUUCAGCUUGUCCUGGCAUUCUGGCUGCAACACAAGUGACGUCUGUGUGCAGUGGUGUCCACUUUCCUGGCACUGCAGCACUGAGAAAAGCAGCUCCAUUGGCAGCAUGGAGAGCCUGGAGCAACCAGGCCAAGCCACCUAUGAGGGCCAUCUCUUGCCCACUGACCAGAAUAUGUACCCCAACCAGCGUGACUCAGCGUAUAGCUCCUUCUCGGCCAGCUCAAAUGCAUCUGACUGUGCCCUUUCUCUCAGGCCAGAGGAGCCAGCCUCUGCAGACUGCAUCAUGCAAGGCUCAGGGCCAACUAAGCCCCCUACUGGCCAGCCUAAUGCAGCUGAGACUUCAGGAGGUAUGCAGCACACCUGUGGGGGCCACCUGACUCCCAGCUCCCAGAUGUCACCCUGCCCACAGGAGGCCCACCACGCAGGGCCUGCCAAGGCUUCAAGGGACCCACCACAACCUCCAGUGAGGAAAGACAGUCUUCAGGCCUCCAGAGCCCAGCUCCUCAACGGAGAGCAGCACAGGGCUUCUGAGCCUGUGGACUGCUUGCAACAGAAGGACACUGUGCCAUCCCCAAGGAACCCUAACAGGUUCUGCUGCUUCAGUGGGCAAGAACAAGUGACAGACAAGGGCCAUCAGAACUGCGAGCUCAGCCAGCCUCCCGAAUUCAGCCAGCAUGUCUCUGAGCAUCUACUGAUAGAUGCCUCAGUCAAAGCUGUUGGAUUCCCAAAAGCGUAUAACAAAGCUUCUAGCAUAGAUUCCAGCCCACUCAACAAGGUUUCAGCAGAGCUAGCUAAGACUUCUUUUGGCAGCCCUUCACACCUCAUAGGACCCACAGGGCAUUGCCAUAGUGCCCCUGAACAGCUGCUGGCAUCCCACUUGCAGCGUAUGCACCUUGAUAUCAGGGGCAGCAAGGGAAUGGAGCUCCCCACUGCGCAGGAUGGGCAUGAGUGGACUCUGUCUCCUUUGCAUAGCAGCCACACAGGGAAGAAAAGCCCAUGUUCCCCUGCAGGGGGAAUCCAGCUCCAGCCCAGCAAAGAGAUAAAGACCAGGUCAGUGGAUGACAGGCCUUUGGAUUCAGGGCAGCAGAGCUCAAGCAGUUCCCCACAUGGAGAGGCUGAUAGACACCCUCCAGAAAGAAGUUUCCAGGAUGCAAACAUACCAAGCAGAGCAGGCAGUGAAUUAGCCAGCCAGCAGCCCUCUACCUCUGGCUCCCUUGUUCAACAAACCAGGGACUAUUCUGCAACCACUAAGGUAGCUGGCAGCAUGGAGGGAACCAAAGAAGGGGAUAGUGAACCCAAGGAGUGUGGCCAGGUGGGUGGUAGGCGAAAUGGAGGCACCCAGGGCCGCUCUAUCCAAAACCGGCGGAAGAGUGAGCGUUUUGCUACCAGUCUGCGUAACGAAAUUCAGAGGAGGAAGGCUCAGCUGCAGAAAAGCAAGAGUCCCUUGUCACAGCUAUAUGACACCAAGGAGCCAGUGGAAGAGACGGAGGAGCUCCUAGAAAGUCCUGCACCUCCUGCCUCUAACUCAUCUCUUCUUUCUUCAUGUAAAAAAUCACCUAGCCCAAGAGACAAGCUCUUCAACAAUAGUAUGAUACUCAAGGCUAGGUCUUCAGAGUGCCUCAGCCAAGCCUCUGGGAACCAUGAAUCUAGGACAAGUUUGGAGAAACAAAUAAGCCCGGGCCGGAAGCCUGGCCAGCCCUCUUUGGGCCUGAACACUUGUUGGAAAGCAUCUGACCCAUCCUCUUCAGACUCUGAAAAAACAAAUGUUCACCAAGGUGUCUGUGGAGGUCACAGGAGGUGGUCUCCAGAGCACAACCUGCAGACACAUGUGGCACUAGCCAUGGAAAGCCCUUCCAACCCAGCUGACCACAAGGAAUUGAAGGCUGCUACUGCCCCAGCUGGGGAGGAAGCCAUCCUCCUGCCCUUUGCAGACAGGAGAAAGUUCUUUGAAGAGAGUAGCAAAUCCUUAUGUACAUCUCAUUUGCCAGGUUUAACCACUCACAGCAAUAAGACUUUCACCCAGAGACCAAAACAAAUGGAACAAAACUUCCAGCCAAUGAACUCCAGCUAUAGGGAACUGAGGUGCCAUCCCACAGACCAAUCAUAUCAUUCCAUGCCAGGCCUUCAGUCAGAAACUCCCACUUACUCAGAAUGUUUUGCAAGCAAAGGUCUAGACGAAUCCAUGUGUUGUAAGCCACUGCACUGUGGUGAUUUUGAUUACCACAGGACCUGCUCUUAUUCCUGCAGUGUUCAAGGAGCUGUAGUCCAUGACCCUUGCAUGUAUUGUUCUGGGGAACUCUGUCCUGCUUUGAGAAAGAGAAAUAUGAUGCCAAACUGCUACAACUGCCGAUGCCACCACCACCAGUGCCUCUGGUGUUUGGCUUGCUACCAUAAUCCCCAGCACAGUACCCUUGAGGACAGCAGUUUGGCACCUGGCAGCACUCGAAAAUCCAGGAAGCUGACAGCACAGGAAUUUCCUGGGGACAAAUGGAAAUCAAUAACAGGGAACAGGAAGACCAGCCAGUCAGGGAGGGAAAUGGCUCAUUCCAAGGGUAGCUUUUCAUGGGCAAUCCCCUUCCAUCCUUGCCUUGGGAACCCAGCACUGGACUUGUCAAGCAACCGAGCAAUCUCUUCUCUUGACCUCCUUGGAGACUUCAAGCAAUUCUUGAAAAAAACAGAGGAAACUUCUAUUUAUGAUGGGGGGAGCUCCAUGGCUUCCGUGCCCCACCCACUGCGCAGCCGUGCCUUCUCAGAGAGCCAUAUCAGCUUGGAGCCCCAGAGCUACAGAGCCUGGGGGCAGCAUAAGAGGGAGCUCUUUACCAAAGUUGAUAAAACCCGGCCAGAUCCUCUGGAAACCAGGAAGAAAUCCUUUCCUCCUCCUCGCCCUCCUCCUCCCAACUGGGAGAAGUACCGGCUCUUCCGAGCAGCCCAGCAGCAGCAGCAGCAGCAACAGCAGCAGCAGCAAGAAGAGGAGGAAGAGGAGGAGGGGAUGGAGGGGGAGGAUGAGGAAGAAGGGGAAGAGGAGGAGCUGCCACCCCAGUACUUCAGUUCAGAAACCACUAGUUCCAGUGCCGUCAAUCCUGAGGAGGUCCUGGAACAGCAGCAACUCCUGGGCUUUGGCCACCUGGAAGCUUCAAGGCAGGACUCACAAAGCCUCCCAGCAGAGCAAGAGUCCUUUGCUCUCCAUUCCAGUGACUUCUUGCCUUCAAUAAAUGGCCACUUGGGAUCUCAGCCCGAGAAGGCUCAGCUCCCUUGCUAUUAUGGCAUUGGUGGGCUUUGGAGAACAUCAGAGCAAGAGACCUCUGAUUCCCCCAAACAAGAAUUUCAGCUCUUCUCACCUCCUCAGGGGGUCCCAGGGAUUCCUACCUCCUACUCAGCUUAUUACAAUAUUUCUGUGGCCAAGGCAGAGCUGCUGAACAAGUUGAAAGAUCAACCAGAGAUUGCAGAGAGUGGACUGGCAGAGGAGGAAGUUGACCAUGAACUGGCUCAAAAAAAGAUACAACUUAUUGAGAGCAUUGGCAGAAAACUUUCUGUCCUGCAGGAGGCCCAGCGAGGACUUCUAGAGGACAUCAGUGCCAAUUCUGCCCUUGGGGAGGAGGUGGAGGCCAACCUAAAAGCCGUCUGUAAAUCCAAUGAGUUUGAAAAAUACUGUUUGUUUAUCGGGGACCUGGACAAAGUGGUCAACUUGUUGCUGUCACUCUCUGGUCGACUGGCCCGGGUGGAGAAUGCUCUCAACAGCAUUGAUUCAGAGGCCAACCAGGAGAAGCUGGUGCUGAUAGAGAAGAAGCAGCGGCUGACAGGGCAGUUGGCAGAUGCCAAGGAGCUGAAGGAGCACGUGGACCGCCGGGAGAAGUUGGUAUUUGGCAUGGUCUCCCACUACCUGCCUCAGGACCAGCUCCAAGAUUACCAGCACUUUGUGAAAAUGAAAUCUGCUUUCAUCAUUGAACAGCGAGAGCUGGAAGAGAAGAUCAAGCUUGGAGAAGAGCAGCUCAAAUGUCUCAGGGAGAGCCUACUCCUGGGGCCCAGCAAUUUCUAAUUCCACCAGAAGACUGCCACACCAUCCCUGCCCAGGCACAAUGGAAAAUUCUUUCAAUCUUUGUUAGCAGUUUAUUAGCCAAGUAGAUAGUAGUUAGUUAGCAGUUUGUUCCAUAUCCUCUACCUUGGAUGUUUCUCACUGCCCCCUACCUAGCAGUGCUCCUUGGGGAGACCUUGGGAAGGACCCAGGCUUCUACUCUAGGGAGUACAAGCAAGAAGUAGAAGCUUCAGUAAGCUGUGAUCAUCCAGCCAAACUCGCCCUCCCACAGUUUGCACAGGCAAGCACUUGCCACACACAGAAUCAAUAAAGUGUCUUCAAUCGUCUUUGUACUAGGACACCAAAGGCAUCAUGCUCUCACUAUUCACCCACACAAUAAUCAGCCUCUUGAGGCUCAGAUAGAAGCUGCCUGUCAACUCUAGUUCCCCAGUGCUCAUGGCCCAGCCACUUCCCACAGAGAUCUGGCUGUCUUGAGGGCAUUAACCUACCACCAAUGUCAAGGCCUCACCCAGGCUUUACAGUGGGAAGCACAGAGGAGAAAUUAUACUUGACAGAAUAUGAGCAAAGUUUGGGAAUCCCCAGGUACCCUUCUGGGAAGGACUUGGCUUAAAGAAAUUGGCUCCACUCCCACAUCCCCCAGCACUAGUUGAGUGGGAAGAGGUGUACUCUCAACUGUGGCUAGGGUGGGCCCCAUCCUGUCCAAGACUUUUUGGUGUACCACUUCCUGUUUCAUCUCACCUUUUCAUUGCUGAGGGUUGCAAAGUGCUUCACACUGUGGCCAUUAAUAGCUCUACUAAAGUUGACUUCUAGAUACAUAUUUCGUUAUUGGGGGUAGGGGGUUCGUAAUAUUGUAUUUUAAAAGGCCUUUUGAUUUUAUUUAUUUUUAUGUUUUGACUGAUUUUUUUUUUCUUUUUAAACUAAUAAGGCAAGAAGAAGAGAGUUGGAGAGGGAAAGAUAGUUAGAAGGAAAGCAUUUUCUGCAGAUCAGCCUGAAUUCACCAUGGUUAGGCACUAGGACAAGCAAUGAUCAAGUUGAGGCAUCCUAUAUUGGGGGAUGAGGCCAAUGUCAUCCAUCAUUCUAAGAUUUUUUUGUGGGUAGAACAGCUUUUUGGAAAUAUAGGCCUGGGGAGAAGAGUGGUCACUUACUUGGACACCAUGAUCAUGGUCUGUGAUAUUCUAGUCAGUGUUAGAUUGAUUGUACAUCAAGUUUAUCACAAUUAAAGUACAAUUGACUCCAUAUUUUUGUACCUCAUCCCACCUUAAAUUAGAAUCAGAACACAAUGGUACUCAUUUUCACACAAAGGGACAGUUCCCAAAGCACUUAUUUGAUAACCCCAAAGCUAUAUUGAAUGGUGAAGGCCAGCAAAUAAAAGGGAACUACUAACCAGGCACUGAGCCCCACACUGCUGCUGUGCUGGUCCCACUGUGAGUAAUAGUGCUGCCAAGCUGCCAGUAUUACUUGAGAUGUGAUGUCUCUUCCCUUUUCUCAUUUCCUGGACUCAGCCCUUCUGCAAGGCCUGUCAGGGAGCCAAUGGGAUUUCCCCAAAGAUAGUUAUUGGUCUUGACUUCUGUCCUCUCCCUUCAAAUAGUCUUACGGGCCAUAGUGGGUAAUAGGUAAGCACAGUGGUUGAUCUAGAUAGAGGGGUUAGUGCCAGAAUUAGCGUCCCAUGUCCCUCCUUACUGCCCUCCACCCAAGCCAGGGCUCUGGGUAGUUGAGUGACCCCACCAGCUUCAGACUCAGCCAGAGUAUAGCAGUAAAUGCUCAAGGGGAGUACAAGAGAAAGAGGCACAUACACUGAAAACAAAGCCCUAGAAAGGGAGAGACUGGAAACAGGAACAGAGGUUGAAAAGAUGAAAAGCCUCUUUUAAGGCCAGCUUCCGGUUCUGUUUUCCAUCUAACCUCAGGUGCCAAAAAGCUGCCCAGGGGCACUAGAGCCACACCAUAACCCUAACCUCCCCGAAGGUGCUGCUCUUCCAGUAGCAGUCCCCAAAUAGAGGAACCUGGGCACAUUUCUGGCCACUUUCUCCUGUCUGGAGCUUGGUGACUACUGCUGUCUUUGCCAAAGGAGUUAUCUAUGCCAAUAAUAUUUCUGUAAAAGCAUAUUGUAUUCUUUGAAGAUUAAUAGAUAUUUAGAGGGGGGUGGAGCAGGGGCACUUUCUAUAGAUAAAAAACCAGUAUUUGCUGUACAACUGUUGAGAGUCAUUUAUCCCACUUGAAGCUAUUAUUUUUCUGAAUUUAAUUGUUUCUGCAUUUAUGUCCUCCACCACUCCCUUCCUGGCUGACAUGGAUGUGCCUGCCAGAUUGUCAUCAAGGGUCAUACUUCAAUAAAAGGUGCUAAGGACAAAAAAAAAUAUCUCACAUGUUUUGAUGAGAUAGAAAUCCCCUAAUAUUCUGCUGAAAAGUAUUGGAAAGGAAUUUAGUAACCGAUUUAUAAUCCUUCAUAGGUAGCCAUAUGACCAGAGCAUUGAUGCUGUACCAUUAUUUAUUCCCAAUAAAAUAAUUUAGAAUUCAGGAAGAGUCAACAAUAGGUAUAAUCUCAAGUGUAGACCUCAGCAGUAUACAGAGUCUAAUUCUGGAAUAUAGCCUGAUCAAGGAAAGCCACGUUCUAGACCUCCUCCAAUUCUGAGUUCUGUUUACUAGUAUCAUCUUAUUUCUACCUUCAUUCUUAGCAACCUGGAAAGCAAGGUCCUUUCUGAUCAGCUCUCUCAAGAUUUAGACCCAAAUGCACUCCAGGCAGCAACUCUGACUCUGGAAAGCUUACUUUUUCCCCAAUUCAUACAUUGUUCGCAUCCCAACUGAUCUGCUCCUAUUCUAGAUAUCUAGUGUGGUAGAGUGGAAAGAGCCCAGCUUUGGCACUGGAAUGAACUGUGCUCAAAUCUUGGUUCUGCCACUUAUUCUAUGAACCUGGGUUAUUUGCUUAAUUUCUGAGAUAAUUUUCUUAUCUGUAAAGUGGGAACAAUAAUAUGUAUCUUGCAGGGAUGUUAUGGCUUAAAAAUAAUACAUGAAAGCCACCAGCUAUCUACUGACAAGUUGUUAAAAAGGCAGAAUUGAAUAUUUUGAAUUUCAGACUCCAGCCUAAACCAAGUGACAACAGUCUGCAUUUUAACUAGAUUCCCAAGAGAUUCAUAUGCAUAUUAAAUGUUGAGCAGUACUAACCUAUCACAAACAUGCUCAGUACAUGGUUAACUAUUAUUCUAGUCCUGAUUUACUCAAUUCUUUCCUAAUCCUAGGCAUAUUCUUGCUCUUCUCAUACAUGCCUAAAUGAGUUCAGUCAGCUGCACGAUACAAGGUUGAUAUAUAAAAUCACUUGUAUUUCUGCACACUAGCAAUUAAUAAUCUGAAAAUAAUUUCAUUUAUAAUAGCAUCUAAAAGAAUAAAAUACUUAGGAAUACAUUUAACAAAAGUGUAAGAAUUUUACACUGAAUACUACAAAACACUGUUGAAAGAAAAUAAAGAAAAUCUUAGUAAAUGUAAAAACAUCCCAUGCUCAAGGAUCAGAAGACUUAAUAUUGUUUACAUAACAAUGCUGCCCAAAUUGAUCUGCAGAUUCAAUGCAAUCCUUAUGAGAAUUCUAGCUGGCUUCUCUGCAUAAAUUGAAAAGUGAAUCCUAAAAUUCAUGUGGAUUUGCAAGGGACCCAGAAUAUUCAAACCAAUCAUUAAAGAGAACAAAGUUAGAGGCCUCACACUUCUCAAUUUCAAAACUAACUACAAAGCUACAGUCAUCAACUGUUUGGUACCUGCACAGGGAUGGACAUAAGUGAGAUGGCAUUGAGAGUAUAGAAAUAAAUACUCACAUUCAUGUGCCAGGACAAUAAGAUGGAUAAAAAAUAGUUUUUCAACAAAUGAUGUGGGAACAAGUGGGUAUCCACAUGGAAUAGAGUGAAGGUAGACCUCUUUCUUAUACCACACACAAAAUUUAACUCAAAGUAGACUAUCAGUAUACAUGUAAGGGUUAAAAUUACAAAACUCUUAGAAGAAAGCCUAGGAGUAAAUCAUACUGACAGACAUUGGCUUAGGCAAUUAUUUCUUACAUAGAACUCCAAAAGCACUAGUGACAAAAAAAUAUAAAUAAAUUGGAGUACAUUAGAAUUAAAAACGUUUGUGCUGUAAACAAUACCAUCAAGAAAGUGAAAAGACAAUCCACCUAAUGGGAAAAAUAUUUACAAAUUAUAUAUUGGACCUUUAUUCAGAACAUAUAAAGAACUCUUGUAGGCAUUUGUGAAAACUUAUCUAUGAUAUGGUGGAUAUUGUCCAACUGAACUUGAACAGUCUGAGAGAAAUCAGACAAAUUAAAACAACCCAUUCCUGGGGAAUGUUCACAUCCCUUAUGUUCCUUUAACAGUAAAUAGUCUGUAGUUGUAAGAUUUUGGAGUGCUACAAUUUGCACUUCUCCUAAUUCUUGGUUGAGUUCCAACAGUAUAGAUCCAGUCAAAUUUGUUGUUUUACUGUAUGCACAGGCCAGCUUAGAUAUCUCCUUCAUUCCCAUGGCAAUUUGCUCCCUUACAACACUAAACUAUGUUUUCUACCUUUAUCUUGUAUCUACCUACCACUUCAGCAUUUUAUUAAAAAUAAUAAUAAUAAAGAGAGAAAUGUGGUAUCUACAUAUAAAUCAAGUAUAAAAAUCAAAUGAGUAUUCAUAUUUGAACUGUUUAUAGUUCAUAAUGCAUGAGCAAAACCGAAAGUUUCUGUGAUGACUGCCCUUGUACUGUUCACUAUGUAACUUAUUCACUAUGUAAGAAUUUGUUCUCCAUGUAAGAACUUGUUUGUUAUGCCUCAGAAGAUUGGAGACUGACGAAAAUUAGGCUUGGGUGGAUUAAUGAUUGUGCAUUGAGCAUUGACUCCCCUAUACAGAAUUUUAUUGUUGUUAACAACCAUUUGAUCAAUAAAUAUGAGAGAUGCCCUCACAAAAAAAAAAAAAGAACUCUUGUAACACAAUAAUAACAGUAAACAAUUUUAAAAUGGAUCACAGGAUCAGAAUAGACAUUUUACCAAAGAAUAAAUGCAGAUAGCCAAUAAGCACAGGGAAAGAUGCUGAACAGUAAGGAAAUAAAAAUCAAAACCAUAAUGAUUAUGAUGGUUAUAAUAAAAAAUACAGUAACAAGUGUUGGUGAGGAUAUGGAGAAAUUGAAUCACUCAUAUUUUGCUGGUGGGGAUAUAAAAUGAUGUAUCCACAUUGGAAAACAAAUUGGCAGUUCCUUAACAUGUUAAACAUAGUUUCCAUAUGACAUAGCAAUUCCUCUCCUAGGCAUAUAUCCAAGAGAUUGAAAACAGUCAUUCAAACAAAAACAGGUAUACAAAUGUUCAAAGCAGCGUUAUUCACAAUAACCAAAAAGUGGGAACAACCUAAAUGUCCAACAGCUGAGGAAUGGAUAAACAAACUUUGGUAUAUCCAUACAGUGGGAUGUUAUUCAUCCAUAAAAAGGAAUGAAGUGCUGAUACGUGCUACAACAUGAAUGAACCUUGAAAAUAUUAUGCCAAGUUAAAGAAGCCACUCACAAAAGAUCACAUAUUGUAUGAUUCCAUUUAUAUGAAAUGUCUAGAACAGGCAAAUCAAUAGAGGCAGAAAACACAUUAGUGAUUGCCAAGGGCUGGAGAGCUGAGAGGAAUAAGAAGUGACUAACAGGCAUGGGGUUUCUUUUUAGGGUGAUGAAAAUAUUCUAAAAUUAGAUUAUCAUCAUGGUUGCCCAGCUCUGUGAAUGUACCAUAAACCAUUGACAUACUUUAAAUGGGUGAGCUGUAUGGUAUAUGAAUUAUUUCCCAAUAAAGGUGGUUUUCAAAAAGCUUUUGCUUUUUUCUAUCAAUCUCAUUCCUAUUGACAAAAUUCUGAAUUGAUAGUAAGCAUGUAGUUCGUGCCUGAGCCCAAAGGGUGCAAUACUCACACUGUUUGCAUUUGGGAAAGGAACUUGGCAUUACAUCCUUCCCCUUGCAGACUUGGCAGACCAAGCAGCACAAGGAGUAAUAGUAGUCUCAGCUGUCUCAUGACUUUAGUGGGAAGAGUAGGGAUGGGACCUAUUGGGGCGGAUGGGCAAUCUUUCUAAGCAUAUAGUAUG